rnacentral:rRNA from 1 species
GACGAACGCNGGCGGCGUGCUUAACACAUGCAAGUCGAACGAAGAGCGAUGGAAGCUUGCUUCUAUCAAUCUUAGUGGCGAACGGGUGAGUAACGCGUAAUCAACCUGCCCUUCAGAGGGGGACAACAGUUGGAAACGACUGCUAAUACCGCAUACGAUCUAAUCUCGGCAUCGAGGAUAGAUGAAAGGUGGCCUCUACAUGUAAGCUAUCACUGAAGGAGGGGAUUGCGUCUGAUUAGCUAGUUGGAGGGGUAACGGCCCACCAAGGCGAUGAUCAGUAGCCGGUCUGAGAGGAUGAACGGCCACAUUGGGACUGAGACACGGCCCAGACUCCUACGGGAGGCAGCAGUGGGGAAUCUUCCGCAAUGGACGAAAGUCUGACGGAACAACGCCGCGUGAGUGAUGACGGCCUUCGGGUUGUAAAG